AAAAUGCACAUUAAUUAUCCCUGGGGCCAUGGGAUAAACAAAAAUCCUGCAAAAACAAGUUAGCACACCCUAGAAUGGUUCUAGCAUGAUUACUAACCUAUGGCUCCAAUACUAGUUGAUGGGAAAAAAAC
rnacentral:pre_miRNA from 1 species